UACGGGGGGGGCAAGCGUUGUCCGGAAUUACUGGGCGUAAAGGGCUCGUAGGCGGCCAACUAAGUCAGACGUGAAAUCCCUCGGCUUAACCGGGGAACUGCAGCUGAUACUGGAUGGCUUGAGUUCGGGAGAGGGAUGUGGAAUUCCAGGUGUAGCGGUGAAAUGCGUAGAUAUCUGGAGGAACACCGGUGGCGAAGGCGGCAUCCUGGACCGACACUGACGCUGAGGAGCGAAAGCCAGGGGAGCAAACGGG
rnacentral:rRNA from 1 species